AAAUCAUGACUUGGUGGUUAAUGCUUCUCAGGGGUAUUGUUCUGAAUUCCACAGACCUGCUUCGACAGAAGGAAUGCACAAACCCUUUAGAGUCUUCAAUCAAAUUCUCUGCAGCGAUUCUAACGAAGUCCCACUGUGUCCUAGUCCAAGCCGAGGGUUUGAAUUUGGAUCUGAAAGCAACUCCUGAAUCUCUUCCUCAUUUUUACACAUCCUUUGUAGAGUGCAUUAGUGUUAAGGAUUCUAGUGCCGCACGUAGUGGCCAGAGAUGUGAAUGUGUGAUGAGCAAACCCGUGUAGCUGAUUAUAAACACAGCAUUAAAGAAAUCAAUAUGCCGCAUUCAUGCUCAGGAAGUCCUCCUUGCAUGCAUUAAGCAGUGGAAUAUUUGAGCCACCAGCACAAUUCUCAGCCCAGGACAGUCCCAUAAUGGCCGAGUCUGCACAUCUAAGGAGUUCUCCAGGAUUCUUAGAGCUGCUUGGAGACGAAUCACUCAUUGAAGAACAGUGGGCUCCAGAGCUCUACUUCCAGAUUUCCUGAUCAGUGGUCCUGGAUAAGGACUAGGUGGUUUGACUUUAAUCAAGAAUACAAGAGGUUUAGAGCAGACACUAUUCAGACAGUGCUCUGUUACAGCGUUGCUAUAUGAACUCACACAGAUCCCCUCAUUAAUUGUCUCUCUGACUAUUAACACAUGUUUUCUAAUUCCUGCCGCCUGGGUAUUUCUAACACACCUUAGAACUUUAAAAAGAUGAAAAGUAAGUCUGAGAAAUAACACAUUGUGCUCUAAUUAAAAUGGAAUUCUGAGGAUAUAGCCAAAUUUACUUUCAUGGGAACAAAUAUUUAGUCAGCAUUUACUACUAAUUAAUGUUGCAGGUGCUAUAACUGGGAAUGUAGACUACAAGAUUGAGACAAAAAGAUCCCUGCUUUUGUUUUUUGUUAUUGUUGGGAUUAUUUUUUGGUUUUGUUUGUUUAAUAAUAGCUAUUCCAAAUUAAAAAGCAUUCUGAGUGGAACUAGUGCAAUUCUAGGCACUAAGCACUUCCUAGUCUUAGGGGGAUCAUGCCCAUUGCUCAUCAAGUUCUACUCUAAAAGCUGAAAUUUUCUGUUUGGCCUCCAAAUUAUCUUGCUAACUUUAGCUAUGGGUGUCAUAUAUUAUUUCUUUUACCAUUUCAAAACACGAGGAUGUGCUUAACAAAUCAUAAAUAUAUCUAAAAACAUUGAAUUUCUAAAUUUCAAAAAGCUAAUUCUGGAUUACUUUUCAAAGAUAAAAUAGUGACUCAAGUUCAGUAUUUGUCUUUCAGGAUGUGGUUUGCUUUUUUCAAAUUUCUACAACUGGGCUUAACUCUUUUCUCUUAGUCAAGGAUUUAAGAACCCAUUGGUGGAAGAAUGUAAAAUCCACAGGCAUUUUUCUCCUGUUUCUUUGUUUCUUUCUUUUCUCCCAAAAUCAACUCUCUUACAUGAGAGCACAAGAGAUUUUACAUUUUUAAAAAAACGGUAGUGCUUUACCCAAACAAUAUCUUCUCUGUCGUUUCAAGACCAUGGAAACACAGCAAAUACUCCAACAAGAAGCCACUCCAGCUGCAAAUGAAGAAUGUGGUGUCUCGCAGGCCAAGUCUGUGAUCUGUAACCCCGCUCACUCAAGUAAGACGGAGAUGACUCUGCUGUUCCCACUGAUGCUUCAGACAUGAUCAGUUAACCUUAAAAAAUACCAAGGAAAUGCCACAGAAAGAGCAACUAAAAGGAAAAUGACUUCAUCUUUAUUUUUACAGUUUCAAAAAACUAUAGGUGGUAGGUCCAGAGUGAUCAUUCACUGUCAAGAUGCUGAAUUGAUGAGGAUAUAGAAGAAAACAAGCCCAGGAAGACAAGUUCAGCCUCAUAAGUAACGUAGUCAACUACUGUGGUCCAGAACAGCAACUCGCCCAUUGGUUUCAUCUGAUUGCUUGUUUCACGGGACUUUUAAUUCCAAAAGGUUUUACUAGUCCUUACUAGAAUGAACUUUUUGUUGCAUACGAGGUCAGAUGCAAGGCAGUUUCUCAUCUGCUUUCACUAGGACUAGUGCUCUAAUCUGGGAAAUAACAAGAGUGCAGGGAAACUGAGUGUGUGUGGUCUCAUCCCACCUUAGCUAAAGGCCAACUCCUGAAGCAAUGCAGGCUCUUCAUACCCCGUCCCACUUCCUUAAAAAUACCAUUCAAUGGUCAGAGCAGACAGAUACCAACAUGAAAACCAGGCAAACUAGCGGCUACCUCAAAGCAUACCAAAGCCUUGCAAAAAGAAGAAAUAACGGUCCAUAUGACAGUGACUUCUGUUUAUACAGAUAUGCCAAACAAUCUUAUUUGAACUUCAGAUUACUAGUUGAUAUUUUAGAAUAUUUCCACGUUUCUCAACCGUAGCCAACAAUAUAUCCUAGCAAUCAAAGAGUGCCUAUGGUGCUUUUCUUAUUCUGUUCAAUGUAAAUGACUAUAAAUAGCAUCUCUAAAAAAUCCCUGAGCUUUCAUAUGCUUUGUACAUUUUGAUUUUAGCAUGAAAAUAAAUUCAUGGACCAUUACUUAAUUUUUUCCCUACAUUUAGGGAAAAAAUGGAAA
rnacentral:sRNA from 1 species